rnacentral:rRNA from 2 species
AAUCCAUAGGUUAAUGAGGCGAACCGGGGGAACUGAAACAUCUAAGUACCCCGAGGAAAAGAAAUCAACCGAGAUUCCCCCAGUAGCGGCGAGCGAACGGGGAGGAGCCCAGAGCCUGAAUCAGCAUGUGUGUUAGUGGAAGCGUCUGGAAAGGCGCGCGAUACAGGGUGACAGCCCCGUACACAAAAGCGCAUGUGCUGUGAGCUCGAUGAGUAGGGCGGGACACGUGGUAUCCUGUCUGAAUAUGGGGGGACCAUCCUCCAAGGCUAAAUACUCCUGACUGACCGAUAGUGAACCAGUACCGUGAGGGAAAGGCGAAAAGAACCCCGGCGAGGGGAGUGAAAAAGAACCUGAAACCGUGUACGUACAAGCAGUGGGAGCACCCUUUGGGUGUGACUGCGUACCUUUUGUAUAAUGGGUCAGCGACUUAUAUUCUGUAGCAAGGUUAACCGAAUAGGGGAGCCGGAGGGAAACCGAGUCUUAACCGGGCGUUAAGUUGCAGGGUAUAGACCCGAAACCCGGUGAUCUAGCCAUGGGCAGGUUGAAGGUUGGGUAACACUAACUGGAGGACCGAACCGACUAAUGUUGAAAAAUUAGCGGAUGACCUGUGGCUGGGGGUGAAAGGCCAAUCAAACCGGGAGAUAGCUGGUUCUCCCCGAAAGCUAUUUAGGUAGCGCCUCGUGAAUUCAUCUCCGGGGGUAGAGCACUGUUUCGGCUAGGGGGCCAUCCCGGCUUACCAACCCGAUGCAAACUGCGAAUACCGGAGAAUGUUAUCACGGGAGACACACGGCGGGUGCUAACGUCCGUCGUGAAGAGGGAAACAACCCAGACCGCCAGCUAAGGUCCCAAAGUCAUGGUUAAGUGGGAAACGAUGUGGGAAGGCCCAGACAGCCAGGAUGUUGGCUUAGAAGCAGCCAUCAUUUAAAGAAAGCGUAAUAGCUCACUGGUCGAGUCGGCCUGCGCGGAAGAUGUAACGGGGCUAAACCAUGCACCGAAGCUGCGGCAGCGACACUGUGUGUUGUUGGGU